rnacentral:piRNA from 1 species
CACGUAUCCACAUGGGCCACAGCUGC